CAGAGUCUAGCGCUGCUGCCCAGGCUGGAGUAUAGUGGUGCAGUCAUAGCUCACUGCAGCCUGGAACUCCUGGGCCCAAGUGAUCUUUCCGCCUCCACCUUCACCUCCCAAGUAGCUGGAAUUACAGGCACAUGCCACUGUGCCCAGGCCACUUUAGUGAUUUGUUAUUUUUUUUAAUCUCUAUUCUCUUUUUAAUGUCGAGCUGCAAAUUUCUUACUUUUCUUUAGUGCAAUCCAUGUAUGAAAUAUGUGUUAUAAUUUGUAACUAACAAUAUUUGAAGUCCUGAAGUUUUUGAAUGAUUUUGUAUGUAAGAUUAGAGUGGAUUCAUGGUUUCCACUAAUAAGCACUUCAUUAUUAUCACUUUGUUAUGUGUGUGUGUGUUUAAAGAGAUAAACUUAUAGGUGGUUUAUCUAGAAUUGUGUAAAAUCCUUUCGUUUUCAUGAGAGAGUAUCUUGCAUGUAAAUAUUAUUUGUCACAUGUUAUGCCUACAAUGUUGGUUGGACUUAAACUUUAGUGACCUCUCAGAGAUUAUUUUCAUUCUAGUUCAUGUCACAUUACUUUGAUAUAUUUAUUAAGAAGAAGUACAAGAGAUUAUUUAAUGCUGUUGUCUGAAUGUUUGUGACCCCCCAGAAUUUGUAUGUUGAAAUCCUAAUCCCCGAUGUAAUGGUAUUAGGAGGUACGGUCUUGGGGAGGUAAAGUUUUUAUAAAUUUCUAAAAGAAAAUAUAGGAAAAAUCUUUGUGACUUUGGGGCAGACUGUUUUCUUAGAUAGGUCAUAGAAGGCAUGAACCAUAAAUGCUGAUAAUUGGACUUUUAAAAGAUUAAAAUCUUUUGUUCUUCUAAAGAUGUUUAAGAAAAUGAAAAGGCAAGCCACAGAAUGGGAGAAAAUAUCUAUACUGCAUUAGUGGAGUUUACUACUAAAUUAAGAAAACAUUAGAAGAUUGUCUAUAUAGUAUAACUGAUUAUAAAAUAAUGUACUUACAUAUUUAAAAUAUUAAGAUAUAUAUUGAUAUCUUAACAGUAGUUGUCUUAGAAUCUUGGUGAGAUUCUAAGAGUUGUUUUUGUGGUGGUUAUUGUUUUUUGUUUUGUGCUCUUUAUCUUUUAAAAAAUUGUUUUGCCUCAAGUAUGUAGUAUCUUUGAUUUAGAAAAAUCUUUAAAUAAAGAUAGGAUAGUUUGAAAGAUUAGCAGAAUGUUUGCAACCAAUACUUGAUACUACAUGGAUAAUACUUUGCUAUUCUAUUUUUGUAAAUUCUGUGCUUGAAAAUUUCAAAGAAUUUUUUGUGUGUGAGUGUGUGUUUUGAGGUGGAGUCUCGCUAUGUUGCCCAGGCUGGUCUCAAACUCCUGGCUUCAAGUGAUUUUCCCACCUUGGCCCCCUGCAGCAUUGAGAUAACAAGCAUAAGCCACCAUUCCCAGGCCGAAACUUUCGAAACUUUAAAAAAUAGCAUGAAAACCUUUAUUUUAGUCCAGGUGCAAUGGCUCACAUCUGUAAACCUGGCACUUUGGGAGGCUGAGGUAGGAGAACUCCUUGAAGCCAGGAGUUUGAGACCAGCCUGGGCAACAUGAUGACACCUGUCUCUACAGAAAAUUUAAAAAUUAGGUGUCACGGUGCAUGUCUGAAGUCCCAGCUACUCUGGAAGCUGAGGUGAGAGGAUUGCUUGAGGAGUUCGAGGCUACCGUGAAGCAUGAUCAAGCCACUGCACGCCAUCCAGCUUGAGUGACAGAGUGAGAGACCCUGUCUCUAAAAAUGAAAAAAGAAAAUCUUUACUUUAUUUAUUUAUUUUUUGAGAUAGAGUCUCGCUCAGUUGCCCAGGCUGGAGUGCAGUGGUGUGAUCUCGGCUCAAUGUAACCUCCGCCUCCUGGGUUUAAGUGAUUCUCCUGCCUCAGCCUCCCGAGUAGCUGGAACUACAGGCAUCUGCCACCACGCCCGGCUAAUUUUUGUAUUUUUAAUAGAAAUGGGAUUUCACCAUAUUGGCCAGGCUGGUCUCGAACUCCUGACCUUGUGAUCUGCCCACCUUGGCCUCCCAAAGUGCUAGGAUUACAGGCGUGAGCCACCGCGCUCGGCCGAAAAUCUUUACUUUAUUUACGGCACUUUAUGAGCCAUAUUUAGCAAACAUAGUUCCACAUAUGAAGUUUGUUUUUAAUGAUAAGGGGUUUUUAAACUUGAUUUUUAGUAUAAAUACACAGUAUAAUAAAAGUUUGUUUACAUUAGAUAUGAAGCUAAUUAUCACCCCUAACUGCUGGCUGGUUUUCUAGAAUUGUAGAAGCAGGUGGUGAAUUUUCCUGUCUGCUGAUAUCCAAAACACUCUGAUUCCUGGGUGAGUUCCAGCAGUAUUGGAUGAUGGUAAUAUUACUGUUGGUCGAUUAAUUUAUGAUAGUAUUAUAUGCAUCUCUAAAGUCUAAUUCUAUUUAUUUUUUGGGUAAAUAGUACAAUAACAUGGCAUAACAUUUUAAAGGGUAUGUGGUUAAAAAGUCUUCCUAUCCCUAACUGUCAGCCACCAGUUGCCUGCCAUGGGACUGUUAAAUCUCACCACCAAAGACCACCAAGAAAACAUCUGUAGUCAAAAAUAAGUUACACUGAUUAGCUUGCUGCAGGAAGGAAUAACAUACAUCAGAAGAGCUGUGGGACCUCUCAAAAGGAUAGAGUUAGGAAAGAGGACAUACGGGAUUUUAGGAGCUGUUAGUCACAGAGUGAUGUUAGGAUAAAGUUAGUAGUCUGGGCAGGGAUUGGCUAGAAUAUGUAAUUUGAGUGAGUUGCUGGAACAGCCAGUAGUUUUGCCUCUAGGACACAUAAGUCCCUGAGGAUUUACUGUUAGAUCAGUUUGUGGUACUAGAACAUAUGGGUAUGAGUGAGCUGAUAUUAAUAAAGGUUUGAGGCUGGGCACAGUGGCUCACACCUCUAAUCCCAGUGCAUUGGGAGGCUAGGACAGGAGGAUCGCUUGAGGCCAGGAGUUUGAGACUAGCCUGUUUAACUUAGUGAGACCUCAGUCUUUAAAAAUUUUGUUUUUAAUUAAAAUUAACUGGGUGUGGUGGCACACACCUGUAGUCUUAGCUACUUGGGAGGCUGAGGGGGAGGAUCACUUGAGCCCAAGAAUUGGAGACUGCAGUGGGCUAUGAUCAUGCCACUGCACCCCAGCCUGGGUGACAGAGGGAGACCCUGUCUCUUAUAAAGAAAAAAAAAAAGUUUGAGCUUAGAUGGCCUGUGAUGCACAGUACAUUGUGGUUUGCUUUGGUUCAGUUUAUCUGUUUUGCAAGUAUUAGUGCUUUUCUGCACAUCUGUGAGCAAUUCGUAGUGUAAUUUCAGUUUCGAUUUUUAAUCUCUGUUUCUGAUCAUUCGUCAGCUAAACUGGAACAUUUACCAUUUAGGGGAGGUGAUCAAUCAAGAUUUCAAACUGUUGUUUGAUGGGUUGUGAAUGUUUAUGAAGCUUUGAUGGUAGACAUUUUGGCCUCUACAGGCACCAGGCCAUUUUGUUCUUUUUUUUUUUUUGAGACGGAGUCUUGCUCUGUUGCCCAGGCUGGAGUGCAGUGGCACGAUCUCAGCUCACUGCAAGCUCCGCAUCCCGAGUUCACACUAUUCUCCUGCCUCAGCCUCCCGAGUAGCUGGGACUACAGGCACCCGCCACCAUGCCAGGCUAAUUUUUUGUAUUUUUAGUGGAGACGGGGUUUCACUGUGUUAGCCAGGAUGGCCUCGAUGUUCUUUUUCUUAGAUGAUAAUUUUUUGAAUCAGCUGGUGUGACAGUGGCUGCAUGGCAGCAUUUAAGACUCUAAAGAUCACACACUUGGCAUCUGCAACACACUGAAACUCAGACAAUUAUUAUUAAAGUUUAAAAUAAUGUCCCAUGUAUCCCAUAAUCUAUUUGGAUUUUCCUCUGGGCAACCAAAUAUUUUCUUUUCCUUUAAUUUGGAUGUGGGUCAUUCACCUUUGCAACUGUCCUAUAUUUGGUUUAUAUUUUGCCAAGGAUAAGGGUCUUGAUAGUGCUAACAGUAAGGAAAAGUUAUCUGUUAACAGCCUAAAAUCUUACAACAGUGGAGAGAGAAGAAAAUGCCAAGGAGAAUAAAGGACAAAAUCAUGCAAGUCUGUAGUCAUCAGUGGCUUCUGGCAUCUGGGAGGUUGUGUUCUGAUUAUCUUGGACAUAAAUAGUCUAUUCAUUUUAUCUUCUGCUUCUGGACCAUAACAGUUGUGGAAAUCCUGACUCAGCCACUGUUUGUCCAUGGCAAUGAUGUCGGCAGUAUGCAUCAUUAAUUUAUUCUCUGUAGUGUCAGUAAUGGGUGUAUGAUACAAACAUUUACAAAAGUUCUUUUGAUAAGUCUUCCACAAGGCUCAAUUCCUGUCUUUAGCUUAUAACCAGGAACUUUAGAUGAAUGUAAGGAAGAAGCAGAAGCCACCUGUGGAUCAUGAUGGGACUAUAGGCUUUAGUUGAUUUAUUAUAUUAACCAGCAUUAUCAGAAUGGAAGGGAGUGGAAUCUUCUAUUGCAGAAAGUACAUAAUGAGUUUUAUGAGUAGUCACUGAUUAUCCUAGAAGUAAGAAUAUCUCACAAACAGGGAGGACAUUGACAGUCUCUAGGACUUUCUUUCAUUUAUCCUAUAAAGUGUAUUAUGAGUUUCACCAAUCCAAGUUUACUCAAACCUAGAAAUAAAAUCCUUUUUUAGAUGGCUAUUGUGGCAGUCUUUGUACUUGAAUGUAUGUUUUCUUUUUUUUUUUUUUGAGACGAAGUUUCUUGUUUCCCAGGCUGGAGUGCAAUGGCGUGAUACCGGCUCACUGCAACUUCCGCCUCCUGGAUUCAAGCAAUUCUCCUGCCUCAGCCUCCCAAGUAGCUGGGGUUACAGGUGUCCACCAUCACACCCAGCUAAUUUUUUGUAUUUUUAGUAGAGACGGGGUUUCACCAUGUUGCUCAGACUGGUCUCGAACUCCUGACCUCAGGUGAUCGCCCACCUUGGCCUCCUAAUAUUUUCUUUAAACUGAAAGAUACUUAAAUGUUGAAGUAUAUUUAUUUUUACCACAUUUUAUUAUACAUGAUUAAAUUGGGAAGGCUUAACUUAUGAUUUGUGAGGUUUUUUUUUCCUUUUAACCCAAAUUUAAUAAAGCAAAGAGUUCUCACAAUAGUUUUGAGUUAAUUAAAAUUCAGAGUAUGCCAAACAAAGCUAAUAAUUUUUAUAAUCCUUUAAAAAAUUUUUAAUAAAAUAAAGGACUAAAGCUUUGUUUUACCUAAUGGCCAUUUAGUAUAAACCCAAAGAUGUUGUAGGUGUAAAAGACAUCUUAACAAUUUCUUAUUAUUUACUUAUUUUUAGAGACAGGGUCUCGCUCAGUUGUCUAGGCUGGAGUGCAGGGGCUCGAUCAUAGCUCACUCCAGCCCCAAUCUCCUGGGCUCAAGUGAUUUUCCUGCCUCAGCCUCCUGAGCAGCUGGGACUGUAGGUGUGCACCACCACACUCAACUAAUUUUUGUGUUUUUUUGGUAGAGACAGAGUUUCGCCAUGUUGCGCAGGCUGGUCUCGAACUCCUGAGCUCAAGCAAUCCACCCACCUCAGCCUCCCAGAGUGAUGAGAUUCUUUUUAUAGGUGUGAGCCAUCAUACCUGGCCUACUUUUUGCUUUUUGACUGAUGAUUCCAAGAGCCUUUUCAGUGUUUAGCACAUAGACAUAGAUAGUAGUAGUCUUACGUUUGAAUGAAGUGAGUUAUGCGUGGGCUGAGUUCACUCAAAGCUUGCCUCAGCUGGGAUUAUUGACCAUAUACCCACUUCACUGGAGAAUGAGUAUGCCAAGAGACCGAGGCAGAACCUGCAAAAUCACUUCUGCUGCAAUGUAUUUGUUAAAGCAGGUCACUAAGGCCAGUUCAGAUUCUAGGGGAGAGACAUUAGACUCUCCCUUUUUUUUUUUUGAGGCAAAGUCUCACUUUGUCACCUAGGCUGGAAUGCAGUGGUGCUAUCUUGGCUCACUGUAGCCUCGACUUCCUGGGCUCAAGUGAUCCUCCCACCUCAGCUGCCCAAGUAGCUGGGACUACAGGCAUGUGACACCACAUUUGGCUAAUUUUUGUUGUAUUUUUAGUAGAGAUGGGGUUUCAUCAUGUUGCCCAGGCUGGACUCAAACUCCUGAGCUCAAGCAGUCUGCCCGCCUCAGCCUGCCAGAAUGCUAGGAUUACAGGCAUGAGCCACUGGGCCUGGCCUUAGACUCUACUUCUUGAUAGGAUAGGUCAGGUCACUGCUAUGCUUUAAAUAUGACCCCUAGAAAGCAUAUGUUGGCUGCUUGGGUGAUGGGUACACUGGAAGCCCAAACCUUACCAUUAUGCAGUAUAUCCAUGUAAAAAACGUACACAUAUACCCGUUGAAUCUGAAAUUUAAAAAUAAAAUAAGUAUGUGUUAGAAAAUUUAUCCAAAAUGCAGUAGUGUUGGGAGGUGUGGCCUAAUGAGAGGUGUUUAGGUCAUGAAGGCCACAUCUCAUGAAUGCAUUAAUGUUGAUUAUAAAAGGGCUUAAGGCUGCAAGUUGUAUCUCUUGCUCUCUCUUAUCCCUCUUUGCCCUUCCACUAUGGAAUGAUGCAGCAAGAAGACCCAUGCCAGAUGCCUGGCCCCUCAAUCUUGAACUUCUUAGCCUCCAGAACUAUGAAUGAAUAAAUUUCUAUUCAUUAUAAAUUAUCCAGUCUAUGAUAUUUUGUCAUAGCAACACAAAACAGACCAAGACAGUGAGAUUACAGAGGAGUAUGUAGAGUGAGAAAUAUUAUUGUAGCCAUUUUUUUUUGUUUUUGCUUUUUAAAAAAAAUUAUUAUUUAAGUUCUAGGGUACAUGUGCACAAUGUGCAGGUUUGUUACAUAGGUAUACAUGUGCCAUGUUGGUUUGCUGCAUCCACCAACUUGUCAUUUACAUUAGGGAUUUCUCCUAAUGCUCUUCCUCCCCCAGCCCCCCAUCCUCCAACCAGCCCAUGUGUGAUGUUCCCCACCCUGUGUCCAUGUGAUCUCAUUGUUCAGUUCCCACCUAUGAGUGAGAACAUGUGGUGUUUGGUUUUCUGUCCUUGUGAUAGUUUCCUUAGAAUGAUGGUUUCCAGCUUCAUCCAUGUCCCUGCAAAGACACGAACUUAUCCUUUUUUAUGGCUGCGUAGUAUUCCAUGGUGUAUAUGUGCCACAUUUUCUUUAUCCAGUCUAUCAUUGAUAGAUAUUUGGGUUGGUUCCAAGUCUUUGCUGUUGUGAACAGUGCUGCAUUAAACAUACGUGCACGUGUGUCUUUAUAGUAGAAUGAUUUAUAAUCCUUUGAGUAUAUGCCCAGCAAUGGGAUUGCUGGGUCAAAUGGUAUUUCUAGUUCUCGAUCCUGGAGGAAUCACCACACUGUCUUCCACAAUGGUUGAACUAAUUUACACACCCACCAACAGUGUAAAAGCAUUCCUAUUUCUCCACAUCCUCUCCAGCAUCUGUUGUUUCCUGACUUUUUAAAGAUCACCAUUCUAACUGGCGUGAUAUGGUAUCUCAUUGUGGUUUUGAUUUGCAUUUCUCUGAUGACCAGUGAUGAGGAGCAUUUUUGCAUAUGUCUGUUGGCUGCAUAAAUGUCUUCUUUUGAGAAGUGUCUGUUCAUAUCCUUUUCCCACUUUUUGAUGGGGUUGUUUUUUUCUUUUAAAUUUAUUUAAGUUCUUUGUAGAUUCUGGAUAUUAGCCCUUUGUCAGAUGGGUAGAUUGCAAAAAUUUUCUCUGUUUUUGCUUUUUGAGAUGAAGUCUCACUCUGUUGUCCAGGCUGACGAUUGUAGCUGACUGCAGCCUCAACCUACUGGGUUCCAGAGAUCCUUCUGUGCCAGCCUCCUGAGUAGCUGGGACUACAGGCAGAUGCCACCACACCUGGCUAGUUUAAAAAAAAAUUUUUGUAGAGAUGGGGUCUCACCAUGCUGCCCAGGCUGGUUUCGAACUCUUGGCUUCAAGCAAUCUCCCCAACUUGGAUUCCCAAAGUGCUGGGAUUACAGGAGUGAGUCACCAUGACUGGCUGGUUGCAGCCAGUUUUGGAAAAUAAAAUGUGCUACAGACAUUGUAAGGGCAAAAUAUUUAACAAUAACUGAGAUUUCUAAAAAUUGAAGAUUGGCUAAAUAUUAAUAAAUUAUUAUGUAAGUAAAUUAUGUCUACCUAGGAUAAAAUAAAAAAUUUUUUAUGGUAUUUUAAGGUAUUUAUUUAUGUACUUAUGCAUUGAGAUAUUUGUCAUCAAAAUUUUUUACUAGUGCAUAUAAGUACCUAACACAUAGUAGCAAUUCAAUAAAAUUAUUUGAAUGAAUUAAUUGAGGAUACUUUUCAAUCAUUCGUAGUUUUUAUGGUGAGAGUUUUCAUUUUGUUCUGUCUUAUUUUUAUGUGUAUUUUAGUUAGAUGUUCGAUUAGUCUAUUCAAGAUGUGUUUUUUGUUUGUUUGUUUGUUUUGAGACAAGAGUGUUGCUCUGUCACCCAGGUUGGAGUUCAGUGGUGCAAUCUCCACUUCCUGGGUUCAAACGAUUCUCCUGCCUCAGCCUCCUGAGGCAAGCACGCGCCACCACGCCCGGCUAAUUUUUGUAUUUUUAGUAGAGAUAGGGUUUCACCAUGUUGGUCAGGCUGGUUUUGAACUCGACCUUAUGAUCCACCUGUGUUGGCCUCCCAAUGUUCUGGGAUUACAGGUGUGAGCCACCGUGCGCAGCCUGUUCAAGAUGUUAUAACAAAAUGCCUUAGACUGGGUAAUUUGUGAACAACAGAAAUUUAUUUGUUACAGUCCUAGAGGCUGGGAAGUCCAAGAGUCAGGUUGCCAGCAGAUUCUGUGUCUGGUGAGGGCCUGUUCCUUAUAGGUGGCAUGUUCUAUGUGUCCUCACGUGGCAGAAGGGACAAACAAGCUCCUUUGGACCUCUUUUAUAAUGGCACAAAUCCCAUUCAUGAGGGCAGAGUCCUUAUGACCUAAUAAUUUCCCAGAUAUUCCACUUCUUAAUACCACCAUGUUGGGGAUUAGGUUUUACCUAUGAAUUUUUGGAACAUUCGAAUCAUAGCAGCUGUUAAGAAACGUUGAAUCAGAAGUUUCUAGUCAUUCUUUUUUUUUGUUUUUUUGAGGCAGAGUCUUGCUCUGUCGCCCAGGCUGGAGUGCAGUGGCGCGAUCUCGGCUCACUGCAACCUCUGCCUCCUGGGUUCACGUGAUUCCCGUCUCAGCCUCCCAAGUAGCCGGGAUUACAGGUGCCCGCUACCACGCCCAGCUAACUUUUGUAUUUUUCGUAGAGACAGAAUGUCACCAUGUUGGCCAGGCUGGUCUCAAACUCCUGACCUCAGGUGAUCUGCCCGCCUUGGCCUUCCAAAGUGCUGUGAUUACAGGCGUGAGCCACUGCGCCUGGCCAGAAGUUGCUAGUCAUUCUAAACUGGAAGCUUGACAUAUAUUUUGAAUCAAGCAUUUAAAAAAUGUCUGCUUUUCAUAAAUAGUUUAUUUUUACAUUUUUAUCCCUUUCAUUUAGGAAAGAAGAUUCAUGAGUUUUUUUUUUUUUUUAAACAGCUGGCAAAUUAGAGAAAAUAUUUAUACAGCUUCUAAUAGGCAUCUCAAAUUAUUUUGAAACAUUUGGGAAUAUAUCUUCUGUAAUGUUUUGCUUGUAAUAAUUGAAUAGAUAUUCUUAUUUGGUAAUAACUUGGAAAAUACAAAGUGGCCCACUUAAAAUGGACUCUGAUUUAAAGAUACUGUUGGAGGCAUUGGUGACCGGCCAUUUUUCCUUUUAAAUAGAGAAAGUAUGACAGAAUCUAUUUUCAAGAAACAGCCAUAGCAAUAUUUUUAGUCUCAUAUGCUCACACAGAAUUUUGUCACUCCCCACCAGUAGGUGGAAUCUAUUUCCACGCUUCUUGAACCUGGGCAGGCUUGUGACUGUUCAACCAAUUGAAUAUGGUGGAAAUUAAGUGAUGUGAUUUCUGAGGCCAUGAUAUAAAUAGGAUACAACUGAUCCAGCAAUCCCACUACUGAGUAUCUACCCAAAGGAAAAUAAAUCAACAUGUUUAUUGCAGUACUAUUCACAACAGCAAAGAUACGGAAUCAGCAUUGAGUAUCUAUUAGUGGAUGAAUGAAUAAAGAAAAUAUGGUAUAUAUACACAAUGGAAUAUUGUUCAGCCAUAAAAAACAAAACAAAAUAAUGUCACUUGCAGCAACAUGGAUGGAACUGGAGGUCAUUAUCUUAAGUUAAAUAAGCUAGGCAGAAAAAGACAAAUAUAUAUUGGGGGGAGGAGCCAAGAUGGCCGAAUAGGAACAGCUCCGGUCUACAGCUCCCAGCGCGAGCCACGCAGAAGACGGGUGAUUUCUGCAUUUCCAUCUGAGGUACCGUGUUCAUCUCACUAGGGAGUGCCAGACAGUGGGCGCAGGUCAGUGGGUGGGCGCACCGUGAGCCAGCCGAAGCAGGGGCGAGGCAUUGCCUCACUCGGGAAGCGCAAGGGGUCAGGGAGUUCCCCUUCCAGGGGUGACAGACGGCACCUGGAAAAUCGGGCCACUCCCACCCGAAUACUGUGCUUUUCCGACGGGCUUAGGAAACGGUGCCCCAGGAGAGUAUAGCCCGCACCUGGCUCAGAGGGUCCUACGCCCACGGAGUCUCGCUGAUUGCUAGCACAGCAGUCUGAGAUCAAACAGCAAGUCGGCAGCGAGGCUGGGGGAGGGGCGCCCGCCAUUGCCCAGGCUCGCUUAGGUAAACAAAGCAGCCUGGAAGCUUGAACUGGGUGGAGCCCACUACAGCUCAAGGAGGCCUGCCUGCCUCUGUAGGCUCUACCUCUGGGGGCAGGGCACAGACAAACAAAAAGACAGCAGUAACCUCUGCAGACUUAAAUGUCCCUGUCUGACAGCUGUGAGGAGAGCAGUGGUUCUCCCAGCACGCAGCUGGAGAUCUGAGAACGGGCUGACUGCCUCCUCAAGUGGGUCCCUGACCCCUGACCCCCGAGCAGCCUAACUGGGAGGCACCCCCCAGCAGGGGCAGACUGACACCUCACACGGCCUGCCAGGUACUCCAACAGACCUGCAGCUGAGGGUUGUGUCUGUUAGAAGGAAAACUAACAGAAAGGACAUCCACACCAAAAACCCAUCUGUACAUCACCAUCAUCAAAGACCAAAAGUAGAUAAAACCACAAAGAUGGGGAAAAAACAGAGCAGAAAAACUGGAAACUCUAAAAACCAGAGUACCUCUCCUCCUCCAAAGGAACGCAGUUCCUCACCAGCAACGGAACAAAGCUGGACGGAGAAUGACUUUGACGAGCUGAGAGAAGAAGGCUUCAGACGAUCAAAUUACUCCGAGCUACGGGAGGAUAUUCAAACCAAAGGCAAAGAAGUUGAAAACUUUGAAAAAAAUUUAGAAGAAUGUAUAACUAGAAUAACCAAUACAGAGAAGUGCUUAAAGGAGCUGAUGGAGCUGAAAACCAAGGCUCGAGAACUACGUGAAGAAUGCAGAAGCCUCAGGAGCCGAUGCGAUCAAAUGGAAGAAAGGGUAUCAGCCCUGGAAGAUGAAAUGAAUGAAAUGAAGCGAGAAGGGAAGUUUAGAGAAAAAAGAAUAAAAAGAAAUGAGCAAAGCCUCCAAGAAAUGUGGGACUAUGUGAAAAGACCAAAUCUACGUCUGAUUGGUGUACCUGAAAGUGAUGGGGAGAAUGGAACCAAGUUGGAAAACACUCUGCAGGAUAUUAUCCAGGAGAACUUCCCCAAUCUAGCAAGGCAGGCCAACAUUCAGAUUCAGGAAAUACAGAGAACGCCACAAAGAUACUCCUCGAGAAGAGCAACUCCAAGACACAUAAUUGUCAGAUUCACCAAAGUUGAAAUGAAGGAAAAAAUGUUAAGGGCAGCCAGAGAGAAAGGACGGGUUACCAUCAAAGGGAAGCCCAUCAGACUAACAGCGGAUCUCUCGGCAGAAACCCUACAAGCCAGAAGAGAGUGGGGGCCAAUAUUCAACAUUCUUAAAGAAAAGAAUUUUCAACCCAGAAUUUCAUAUCCUGCCAAACUAAGCUUCAUAAGUGAAGGAGAAAUAAAAUACUUUACAGACAAGCAAAUGCUGAGAGAUUUUGUCACCACCAGGCCUGCCCUAAAAGAGCUCCUGAAGGAAGCGCUAAACAUGGAAAGGCACAACCGGUACCAGCCACUGCAAAAUCAUACCGAAAUGUAAAGACCAUGGAGACUAGGAAGAGACUGCAUCAACUAACGAGCAAAAUAUCCAGCUAACAUCAUAAUGACAGGAUCAAAUUCACACAUAACAAUAUUAACUUUAAAUGUAAAUGGACUAAAUGCUCCAAUUAAAAGACACAGACUGGCAAAUUGGAUAAAGACUCAAGACCCAUCAGUGUGCUGUAUUCAGGAAACCCAUCUCACGUGCAGAGACACACAUAGGCUCAAAAUAAAAGGAUGGAGGAAGAUCUACCAAGCAAAUGGAAAACAAAAAAAGGCAGGGGUUGCAAUCCUAGUCUCUGAUAAAACAGACUUUAAACCAACAAAGAUCAAAAGAGACAAAGAAGGCUAUUACAUAAUGGUAAAGGGAUUAAUUCAACAAGAAGAGCUAACUAUCCUAAAUAUAUAUGCACCCAAUACAGGAGCACCCAGAUUCAUAAAGCAAGUCCUGAGUGACCUACAAAGAGACUUAGACUCCCACACAUUAAUAAUGGGAGACUUUAACACCCCACUGUCAACAUUAGACAGAUCAACGAGACAGAAAGUCAACAAGGAUACCCAGGAAUUGAACUCAGCUCUGCACCAAGCGGACCUAAUAGACAUCUACAGAACUCUCCACCCCAAAUCAACAGAAUAUACAUUUUUUUCAGCACCACACCACACCUAUUCCAAAAUUGACCAUAUACUUGGAAGUAAAGCUCUCCUCAAUAAAUGUAAAAGAACAGAAAUUGUAACAAACUGUCUCUCAGAUCACAGUGCAAUCAAGCUAGAACUCAGGAUUAAGAAUCUCACUCAAAACCGCUCAACUACAUGGAAACUGAACAACCUGCUCCUGAAUGACUACUGGGUACAUAACGAAAUGAAGGCAGAAAUAAAGAUGUUCUUUGAAACCAACGAGAACCAAGACACAACAUACCAGAAUCUCUGGGAUGCAUUCAAAGCAGUGUGUAGAGGGAAAUUUAUAGCACUAAAUGCCCACAAGAGAAAGCAGGAAAGAUCCAAAAUUGACACCCUAACAUCACAAUUUAAAGAACUAGAAAAGCAAGAGCAAACACAUUCAAAAGCUAGCAGAAGGCAAGAAAUAACUAAAAUCAGAGCAGAACUGAAGGAAAUAGAGACACAAAAAACCCUUCAAAAAAUAAAUGAAUCCAGGAGCUGGUUUUUUGAAAGGAUCAACAAAAUUGAUAGACCGCUAGCAAGAUUAAUAAAGAAAAAAAGAGAGAAGAAUCAAAUAGAUGCAAUAAAAAAUGAUAAAGGGGAUAUCACCACCGAUCCCACAGAAAUACAAACUACCAUCAGAGAAUAUUACAAACACCUCUAUGCAAAUAAACUAGAAAAUCUAGAAGACAUGGAUAAAUUCCUCAACACAUACACCCUCCCAAGACUAAACCAAGAAGAAGUUGAAUCUCUGAAUAGACCAAUAACAGGAGCUGAAAUUGUGGCAAUAAUCAAUAGCUUACCAACCAAAAAAAGUCCAGGACCAGAUGGGUUCACAGCCGAAUUCUACCAGAGGUACAAGGAGGAGCUGGUACCAUUCCUUCUGAAACUCUUCCAAUCAAUAGAAAAAGAGGGAAUCCUCCCUAACUCAUUUUAUGAGGCCAGCAUCAUCCUGAUACCAAAGCCUGGCAGAGACACAACAAAAAAAGAGAAUUUUAGACCAAUAUCCUUGAUGAACAUUGAUGCAAAAAUCCUCAAUAAAAUACUGGCAAACAGAAUCCAGCAGCACAUCAAAAAGCUUAUCCACCAUGAUCAAGUGGGCUUCAUCCCUGGGAUGCAAGGCUGGUUCAAUAUACGCAAAUCAAUAAAUGUAAUCCAGCAUAUAAACAGAACCAAAGACAAAAACCACAUGAUUAUCUCAAUAGAUGCAGAAAAGGCCUUUGACAAAAUUCAACAACCCUUCAUGCUAAAAGCUCUCAAUAAAUUAGGAAUUGAUGGGACGUAUCUCAAAAUAAUAAGAGCUAUUUAUGACAAACCCACAGCCAAUAUCAUACUGAAUGGGCAAAAACUGGAAGCAUUCCCUUUGAAAACUGGCACAAGACAGGGAUGCCCUCUCUCACCACUUCUAUUCAACAUAGUGUUGGAAGUUCUGGCCAGGGCAAUUAGGCAGGAGAAGGAAAUCAAGGGUAUUCAAUUAGGAAAAGAGGAAGUCAAAUUGUCCCUGUUUGCAGAUGACAUGAUAGUAUAUCUAGAAAACCCCAUUGUCUCAGCCCAAAAUCUCCUUAAGCUGAUAAGCAACUUCAGCAAAGUCUCAGGAUACAAAAUCAAUGUGCAAAAAUCACAAGCAUUCUUAUACAUCAAUAACAGACAAACAGAGAGCCAAAUCAUGAGUGAACUCCCAUUCACAAUUGCUUCAAAGAGAAUAAAAUACCUAGGAAUCCAACUUACAAGGGAUGUGAAAGACCUCUUCAAGGAGAACUACAAACCACUGCUCAAGGAAAUAAAAGAGGAUACAAACAAAUGGAAGAACAUUCCAUGCUCAUGGGUAGGAAGAAUCAAUAUCAUGAAAAUGGCCAUACUGCCCAAGGUAAUUUAUAGAUUCAAUGCCAUCCCCAUCAAGCUACCAAUGACUUUCUUCACAGAAUUGGAAAAAACUACUUUAAAGUUCAUAUGGAACCAAAAAAGAGCCCGCAUCGCCAAGUCAAUCCUAAGCCAAAAGAACAAAGCUGGAGGCAUCACGCUACCUGACUUCAAACUAUACUAUAAGGCUACAGUAACCAAAACAGCAUGGUACUGGUACCAAAACAGAGAUAUAGAUCAAUGGAACAGAACAGAGCCGUCAGAAAUAAUGCCACAUAUCUACAACCAUCUGAUCUUUGACAAACCUGAGAAAAACAAGAAAUGGGGAAAGGAUUCCCUAUUUAAUAAAUGGUGCUGGGAAAACUGGCUAGCCGUAUGUAGAAAGCUGAAACUGGAUCCCUUCCUUACACCUUAUACAAAAAUCAAUUCAAGAUGGAUUAAAGACUUAAAUGUUAGACCUAAAACCAUAAAAACCCUAGAAGAAAACCUAGGCAAUACCAUUCAGGACAUAGGCAUGGGCAAGGACUUCAUGUCUAAAACACCAAAAGCAAUGGCAACAAAAGCCAAAAUUGACAAAUGGGAUCUAAUUAAACUAAAGAGCUUCUGCACAGCAAAGGAAACUACCAUCAGAGUGAACAGGCAACCUACAAAAUGGGAGAAAAUUUUCGCAACCUACUCAUCUGACAAAGGGCUAAUAUCCAGAAUCUACAAUGAACUCCAACAAAUUUACAAGAAAAAAACAAACAACCCCAUCAAAAAGUGGGCGAAGGACAUGAACAGACACUUCUCAAAAGAAGACAUUUAUGCAGCCAAAAAACACAUGAAAAAAUGCUCACCAUCACUGGCCAUCAGAGAAAUGCAAAUCAAAACCACAAUGAGAUACCAUCUCACACCAGUUAGAAUGGCCAUCAUUAAAAAGUCAGGAAACAACAGAUGCUGGAGAGGAUGUGGAGAAAUAGGAACACUUUUACACUGUUGGUGGGACUGUAAACUAGUUCAACCCUUGUGGAAGUCAGUGUGGCGAUUCCUCAGGGAUCUAGAACUAGAAAUUCCAUUUGACCCAGCCAUCCCAUUACUGGGUAUAUACCCAAAGGACUAUAAAUCAUGCUGCUAUAAAGACACAUGCACACGUAUGUUUAUUGCCGCAUUAUUCACAAUAGCAAAGACUUGGAACCAACCCAAAUGUCCAACAAUGAUAGACUGGAUUAAGAAAAUGUGGCACAUAUACACCAUGGAAUACUAUGCAGCCAUAAAAAAUGAUGAGUUCAUGUCCUUUGUAGGGACAUGGAUGAAAUUGGAAAUCAUCAUUCUCAGUAAACUAUCGCAAGAACAAAAAACCAAACACCGCAUAUUCUCACUCAUAGGUGGGAAUUGAACAAUGAGAACACAUGGACACAGGAAGGGGAACAUCACACUUCGGGGACUGUUGUGGGUUGGGGGGAGGGGGGAGGGAUAGCACUGGGAGAUAUACCUAAUGCUAGAUGACAAGUUGGUGGGUGCAGCGCACCAGCAUGGCACAUGUAUACAUAUGUAACUUACCUGCACAUUGGGCACAUGUACCAUAAAACCUAAAGUAUAAUAAUAAUAAUAAUAAUAAUAAAAAAAAAAGAAAAAGACAAAUAUAUAUUCUCACUUAUAUGUGGGAGCUAAAAAUUUGAACACAUGGAGGUAGAGAAUGGAAAAUAGAUAAUAGAGACUGGGAAGGGUGAGUGGGGGAAAGGGGAAGGAUAAAGAGAAGUGAGUUAAAGGGUACAAACAUACAUUAAGAUAGGAGUAGGUUCAAUGUUUGAUAGCAGAGCAGGAUGACUAUACCUAACAAAAAUGUAUUGUACCCAGUGAUGAACAUCCUGAAGACCCUGGGUUGAUACUAUGCAUGAUAUACAUGUAACAUAAUUCCUCAUGUAAUCUGUAAAUUUGCACAAAUAAAAAGAGGAAAAAAAAAGAUACAGCUUCUUCCUGGCUCUCUCUUUGUCUUGGGAUGCUUGUCAUUGGAACUAAGUCAUACGAAGAGGCCACAUGUGGGUAUUCUCUUCAAAAACCUGAGCUAAGCUGCAGCCAACAGCCAGUAUUAACCACGGUAUGAGUGAGAAAGCUUUCAGGUAAUUUCAGCCCCAGGCUGUCGAGUGUCCUGGUGAGGCCCCAGAAGUUGCGGAGCAGAGACAAGCCAGCCCCGCUGUGCCCUGUCUGAAUUUAUGGUCCACAGAACCUGUGAUAGAUAAUAAAUGAUUAUUGCCUUAAGCCACUAAGUUUUGGAGUAAUUUGUUACAUGGCAGUAGAUAAUUAAUACAUAUAAUUUCUAGAAACUUAUAGGCAAGUAAAGAUUUGUUCAAAGAUAUAUAUAUAUAUAAAUGAUACAUAAAUGAUCCAUGUAUAUGUAUAUAUGAUAUGGGUGAUAUAUAUAAAAUAUGGGUGAUACAUAUAUACACACACACACACACACACACACAUAUAUAGAUGUUCUCUGCUGUAUCAUUUAUUUAUGUUUUCUUUUUUUUAGAGGCAGAGUCUCACUCUGUCACCCAGGCUGGAGUACAGUGGCUCAGUCGUAGGUCACUGCAGCCUUGAACUCCUGGGCUCAAGCGAUCCUCCUGUCCCAGCCUCCCAAAACACUGGGAUUACAGGUGUGAGCCAGGAUGCCUGACCCUGCAGUAUAAUUUACAAUUUUUUGAAAUAGUCUAGCUAUCCAACAAUAAGAAAAUGUUUAAAUAAAUUAUCAUAAGCACACUAUUUUCCUAAAUAAAAUUUCUACAUUUUCUAUAUUCAAAAACAAAGUUUAAAGAAUUGGUAUAUAGUCAAUUAUGUUAUAAUGAUAAACCUAAUUGAAUUAUUUAUUUACAUAAAUAAAGAUGAUUAAGAACAAAAAAGCCUUUACAUCUGAUAAAGGAUAUGUACCCAGAACAUACAAGAACUUUCAUCAGUCAAUAAGAAAAGAUACUAAAUGUUUUAAAUGGACAAAAGAAUUGAAUAAGCAUGUCCCCAAAGAAGAUAUUAAAAUGGCCAUUAAGCAAGUAGAAAGGUCCUCAACAUCACUACUCAUCAGGGAAAUGCAAAGUAGAAAACAAAGAGAUACCAGUAGACGUUCACUGUAAUGGAAUAAAAUUUAGCAGAUGAGCAAUAUCGAGUGUUGACAAGGUUGUGAAGUAGCUGGAACCCUUAUACCUUGAUGGUGUGAGGGUAAAAUGGUAUCACUUUGUGAAUUGUUGGGUAAAACCAAUGUUGACCCCAUAAACUUUCAGUCCCAUUCCUGGGUAUAUACCUAAGAGAAAAGAGUGCUUAUGUCCACCAAAGCACACAUAGAAUUUUAUUCAUAGCAACUGUAUUCAUAAUGGCUCAAAUUGGAAAGCUGCUCUAGUCAUACACUGUGCUGCCCUUACCUUUAUUAACGCAGUAGUGCUUAGCAUGUAGCUACCGGUGUUUAGUUUAAUAUGCGUUGUUAAUGAAAAUUUAUUUAGGGGAUUUCACCCCCCAAUUUUUUAACUUUAAAACUAUGGUUUCAAAUUUCUUAAAACCUUUAUCUUUAUAUCAGUUUGGUUUUGGAAGACUAAAAGAAAGAACUUGUUGCACAGAUGGCCCAAAGCACAGAUUAUUAAAAUGCUUUUAUCUACAUCCAGCUCCAAAUAUUCCCUUACUCCUUGAUCAUUCUUUUUUUUUUUGGAAACUGAGUCUCUGUCGCCUAGGCUGGAGUGAUAGAUGUAUAUAUGGUCCCCUAUUCUAAGGUAGUACAGUCAUGCAUCCGAGAAAUGUGUCAUGAGAUGACUUUGUCAUUGUGAGAACACCAUGGAGUGUACUUACAGAAACCUAGAUGUUGUAACUACUAUACACCUAGAUGGUAUAACUACUACUAUACAUAGCCUAUGUGGUACAGCCUAUUACUUCUAUGCCACAAACCUGUACAGCAGGUUACUGUACUGAAUACUGUAGGCAGUUAUAACAGUGCUAAGUAUUUAAGUAUCUAAACAUAGAGAAGGUACAAUAAAAACAUAGUAUAAAAGGUAAAAACUGGUACACCUGUAUAGGGCACUUAACCAUGAAUGGGGCUUACAGGACUGGAAGUUGCUCUGGGUGAGUUGGAGGUGAGUGAUGAGUGAAUGUGAGGGCCUAGGAUGUUAUUGUACACUACUGGAUACUUUAUAAACUUUAUAAACACUGAACACUUAGGCUACACUAAAUUUAAAAAAAAAUUUUCUUGGCUGGGCAUGGUGGCUCAUGCCUGUAAUCCCAGCACUUUGGGAGGCUGAGGUUGGCAGAUCACUUGAGUCCAGGAGUUCAAGACCAGCCUGGGGAGCAUGGCAAAACCCCAUCUCUACAAAAAAUACAAAAAUUAGCCAGGCAUGGUGGCGCACACCUGUGGUCCCAGCUGAGGACUGGGAGGCUGAGGUGAGAAGAUCAUUUGAGCCAGGAGGUUGAAGGUGCAGUGAGCCAUGGUAGUGCCAUUGCACUCCUGCCUGGGCAAUAGAGCGAGAUCCUAUCUCAAAAACAAACAAAUUUUCUUUCUUCAAUAAUAAAUUAAACUUAGCUUACUGUUAAGUUUUUACUUUAUAAACGUUUCAAUUUUUAAAAACUUUUGGACUUUUUUGUAAUAACACCUAGCUUAAAACACAAGUACAUUGUAUAGCUAUAGAAAAUAAUUUUUCUUUAUAUCUUUAUAGGCUUUUUCUAUUUAAAAAGUUUAAAAUUUUUUUUAACUUUUAGAAUAUUUUGGUAAAAAUGAACACACACACACACACACACGCACACACACACACACACUGAGCCUAGGUCUACACAGGGUCAGGAUCAUGAAUAUCCCUGGCUUGCCCCUCUACAUCUUGAUCCACUGGAACACCUUCAGGAGCAGUAACAGGCAUGGAGCUGUCAUCUCCUAGGAUAACAAUACCUUCUUCUGGAAGUCCUCCUGAAGGACCUGCCUGAGGCUCUUCUUGAGGAGAUGUCACUCUUUCCGCUGUCCCCUUUCCUCCAACCCAACGGCUUACUUUCAAGGAAGUAUUUGAGAAUGGGAAACCUAAAGUUGAUGUUUUAAAAAACCAUUUGGUAAAGGAAGGACGACUGGAAGAGGAAGUAGCCUUAAAGAUAAU